rnacentral:lncRNA from 1 species
AUCUCUUCUCAGCUCAUCUAUCAUUCUCCCCCUUAGUCACUGUGCUCUAGCCACAAAAGUCAGCAAUUCUUUGAACAAGGCAAAUGUGUUCGCACUUUAGGGUCUAGCACAAGUUGGUUCUGCUGUCUAGAACUCUUCACUUAGAUACUGUAUGGCUUGCUCCUGCACUCUAGGACACCCAGGGAGCAGCUUUCCCAGACCACCUAAGAUAGCUACCACAUCCCACCAAUCUAUCCCCUCACCUCUUUUUUUUUUAGAUGGAGUCUCGCUCUGUCACCAGGCUGGAGUGCAGUGGUGCAGUCUCGGCUCACUGCAACCUCUGCCUCCUGGGUUCAAGCGAUUCUCCUGCCUCAGCCUCCCAAAUAGCUGGGAUUACAGGUGUGCGCCACCACGUCCGGCUAAU